UUCGCGAUCUCCAUUUAUAAGCUUUGAUAUCCUCGAAAAGACUGCGCAAAAAAUGUUAUUUUCUUAGAAACAAGAGCAAAAAAUCCGUCAUAUUCAUGUGAAAUUAUUUAAAAUGUCGUUUGCGAUAAAAACUAAUGGGGUUACUGAAACAGAAACAUGGUGUAGGCGCAAUGUCCAGUUAUGAUGGUGAUGAUAUGCAGAAAUUAGAUGAGCCCGAAAAAACAGAGACGUUCGAAGAAAGUUCUAGAUCGCCUCUCGGCAUGAACUUAACUAAAGAUAAGGAAGUUAGGAUGACAACGCCACAUCCGUCGCCGCCAACACCUGCGGAAAAAAAGCCCCAAUCACCUGUAGCGAGGAAUGAUAUCAUUGCAUUUGGAAAUUAAAUUAGAAACCGUGGUUUCUGGAAGCCCUCUUAACAACUUACAACGAUUUGAAAGCUUUUCAAGAACGGAGACAACGCAUCGAACAGUCAGACACUCAGGAUAUGUACAAGCAAACUCCUUCUCGCAAUGGCGGAAAUAACGCAAAUUUGCUGUUUAGAUAAUCUUAUCAACAAAAACCAUUUAAUAUGCAGUCAUCAACGGCGAUUCAUGAUACAUACAGCAAACACAGAAAGUUGUCCUCUUCGCUACAUUGCAACUGAAAGGAAUUUUGAGUCAUUCAGAAGCCCAAAUGCUGCUGAUCAGUUUCAGAUCAAAAGGUGAAAUUUCUAAACAUAACUAGUUUGAGUCAUCGCGAUCGUGAAGACAUUAUGUGGAACUUACAACUUACUUGCCCAACAGCAACAGCAACAAAUUCUGCAAACCUUAGCUGCUCAACAAACAACAGCAUACACAAUAUUCAACGCACACCUUAUAAUCGGAAUCGGCGGACAUCGCUUAGAGUCUUUGGAAAAUAUUUUCUAUGAUUCUAACGAUUUAGUGGAUUAUCCCCACAGCAAUUCCAAGAAAAUAGUGCUAGUACAGGAAGUAGUUUACAUAUAAUAUUAUCGCUACACGCGAAAUAAACUUAGAAAUCAUAUUCUUAAAUGUUUCUUAAGUUUAAAUCUUUAUUCGCAUAAAAUAAAUUCAUAUUGACAAAAAGUCAAUUUUCAAGAAUGUAAUUUUCAAACUGUGUAUCACGUAGAACCAUGGGUACGAUCAAAUAUUUCUUGUAGAUAUGAUAUUUUAGCAACUUUCAAUUUAAUAUGAACUUAAUUAUAUUCACUUCUCUUAAAAACAGAAUCAACUCCAUUUUAGAUUUAGGAAUGUUUAUCAAUCGUAUUUUCAAGUGAUUUAUCCUGCAAUUUUUGGUUCAUGUAUCUAAUUCUUUUAUUAUGUUUAAUAAUAUAUAUAUACGGACUUUUCUAUAAAACAUUAAAAAUUAGGCGUUGUUGCCCUAUAAAGAGUUACAUUUCGUAGGAAUGGUUAUAAUUAGUUUAGUUGAAUUUCUCGGCCUACUCUUACUGGACGAUUUUUAUCGAAAAAUUCUGAAAACUGCAAUUUUAUUGCUUUCUAGCAACUGGGGAGUGAUCAUAAAAGAAGUUGGAUCCAAUCUAUUUUCAAUAGGAUUCUUCCUUACAGCCGACUUGUCAAAAUAUCUCAGAACUUUUUCAAUUAUUACUCUGACACUUUCUUGAUUUAAAAUAGAGACAGCAAUUUACUACUAACUAAAAUCAAUUUCGUAACUUUUGAAUAAAAAUUGCAGCUAAAUAUUUCGCUGCAUGAACUUAAUUCUGCAAUCUGUGCCAUAAGUGGUGUAGGGUACAAGCAGAAGAAAAAUGGCACAAAUGGA